AGGCGAAGGAUGACUUCCUGCGGCACUACACAGUGUCGGACCCCAGGACUCACCCCAAGGGCUACACCGAGUACAAAGUAACCGCGCAGUUCAUCUCAAAGAAGGACCCAGAGGAUGUCAAAGAGGUGGUGGUCUGGAAGCGGUACAGCGACUUCCGCAAGCUGCAUGGAGACCUGGCCUACACCCACCGCAACCUCUUCCGCCGCCUCGAGGAGUUCCCUGCUUUCCCCCGGGCCCAGGUGUUUGGGUGGGGAGGUGACCCGACCCUUGGAGGUGUCCAGGGACCUACACAUCCUGCCACCCCCUCUGAUC
rnacentral:lncRNA from 1 species